UCAAUUUGCGCUUCUGCCUCGAGCUCAUUGGCCUUCUGAAGUUCAUCAAUCCAAAGAAUAUGCAAUUUUAACAUCUAGUAUUCCAAAUGAUUGCUCCAGCAAGUCGAACAAUCUAUUGAAGAUCCCUAUGCUGAUAUGUAGGGCUGGAGGACAUACCUGAGAAGGAUUGUGAUCAUCAAUAUAAUGAUUAAAAGGGAAUUCCCAAAGUUGUCUUCAUGGCGAUACUUUCUUCUGCUGUCACUUCAAUUUGAAUACCUUAUUCACCAAAAAAUUAUUAGACUUAAAAGCACAGGAGAUGUGAACAGUUUUCAAAGAAAAUAGAAUGAACAUAGAUAACUAACCUGCCUCUGAAAUAAUUUUUCGACGUUCCUCUUUGCCCAUUUGUUUGAAUUCGUUUUGCUGCUGCACCAAUAUAUUUUGAUUUCCUCCUCCACUAAU